UGUCUUAUAGUUUAAUAAAAACAUUAAAUUGCAAAUUUAAUUAUGAUUAAAAGUCUAAGACUU
rnacentral:tRNA from 1 species